rnacentral:misc_RNA from 1 species
UUGUGAAUCAUCGAAUCUUUGAACGCACAUUGCGCCCUUUGGUAUUCCAAAGGGCAUGCCUGUUCGAGCGUCAUUUGUACCCUCAAGCUUUGCUUGGUGUUGGGCGUCUUGUCUCUAGCUUUGCUGGAGACUCGCCUUAAAGUAAUUGGCAGCCGGCCUACUGGUUUCGGAGCGCAGCACAAGUCGCACUCUCUAUCAGCAAAGGUCUAGCAUCCAUUAAGCCUUUUUUUCAACUUUUGACCUCGGAUCAGGUAGGGAUACCCGCUGAACUUAAGCAUAUCAAUAAGCGGAGGACC